rnacentral:rRNA from 2 species
CGCCUCUUGCAAAAACAAUGUAUAAGAGGUCCCGCCUGCCCUGUGACUAUAUGUUUAACGGCCGCGGUAUUUUGACCGUGCAAAGGUAGCGCAAUCACUUGUCCUUUAAAUGAGGACCUGUAUGAAUGGCACGACGAGGGCUUAGCUGUCUCCUUUUUCAAGUCAAUGAAAUUGAUCUUCCCGUGCAGAAGCGGGGAUUAUAACAUAAGACGAGAAGACCCUAUGGAGCUUUAGACAUAAAACAGACCACGUCAAACAACCUUGCACAUAAGAAUAAACUAAGUGGACCCUGCUUGAAUGUUUUUGGUUGGGGCGACCGCGGGGUAACAAAAAACCCCCAUGUGGAAUGAAAACACCUUUUUAGAACCAAGAGCUACCGCUCUAAGCAACAGAAAAUCUGACCAAUCAGAUCCGGCGAAGCCGAUCAACGAACCGAGUUACCCUAGGGAUAACAGCGCAAUCCUCUUUUAGAGUCCAUAUCGACAAGAGGGUUUACGACCUCGAUGUUGGAUCAGGACAUCCUAAUGGUGCAGCCGCUAUUAAGGGUUCGUUUGUUCAACGAUUAAAGUCCU